rnacentral:sRNA from 1 species
UUGACUCGAAAAUGAUAAUCGUUAUUAUUCACACAACUGGUCGCGAGAUCAGCCGGUAAGCUGAGAUUCCAAGCAGUCGGACUCUUCAGAUUAUCUCCUCAUCAGGCUAAUCACGGUUUCGACCCGGCUAAUCGCCGGGUCUUUUUUUG